rnacentral:rRNA from 1 species
GUGGAUUAGAUACCCUGGUAGUCCACGCCGUAAACGAUGAUAACUAGCUGUCCGGGUUCAUGGAACUUGGGUGGCGCAGCUAACGCAUUAAGUUAUCCGCCUGGGGAGUACGGUCGCAAGAUUAAAACUCAAAGGAAUUGACGGGGGCCUGCACAAGCGGUGGAGCAUGUGGUUUAAUUCGAAGCAACGCGCAGAACCUUACCAGCGUUUGACAUGUCUAGUAUGUUUCCCAGAGAUGGGUUACUUCAGUUCGGCCGGCUAGAACACAGGUGCUGCAUGGUCGUCGCCAACU